AAUGUCAAAUACGAGCAACUAAAACGGCAAAAGAGAUUUAUUUUAAGUUGAAUUUCUUCUUCAUUUUAUUAAUUAAAAUUUUCACGUAUAUCCGGGCUGUGAAAACGAAUGAAGUUGUCGGCUUUGGCGGUUUUAUAAAAAGUCACGCAGAAAUAGCUUUCUGUGAAGUCGAAGUAAAAUUAGAUGGACUAAACCAAUGAUUUUUUCAUGUAAAUGCCAGAAUGACGUAUCAAAAAAAGACUUAUAUACGCGUAAGGUCGAGCUAUAUGAAAAGUUGAUUUUAAUACAAGCACAAAAACGAAAUGUCAUUACACUGCAGACAAAUUUUGUAUUAGUUUAUUUAAUAAUAGCCUCACUAAAAAUGCAUUAAACGAUAAAAAGGAUUACCUCCCUUCGAACGUAUUGCCCCGCCUCCACGAUGGAGUUGAGAACUAAAGGAAGUGAAACUUACCUUUCCUUACCUUACCUCGGGUAGAGCACUUGGCAUUCAGAUGCAGCUACGUUCACCAGAUGGCCGUCAAGAGCAUAGCAGCGCAAUUACCGAUAUUAAUGUCGUAUUUUCAUUCAGGCCCAUAAUACCGGGCGAAUAUGAAUUGGAAGUCGUUUGUUCGAUAUAGCAUUUCGAACAAGCAUUUAAUGGUGCUUUUGUUUAAAGAAAAGGGGGUAAGCUAAAAUUAAUCUUUUGCAGGAGGUUUGAAGUCACAUCACUUGCUUAUUUGUGGGAUAAGCAACCGACGGUAUGUCCUAAGCAAAUCGAUUGUGCUUUAGCCGAACUAUGAAUUCCAAGCAAACUAUAUAGAAAUUAGAAUUGCUUUUAAGAUUGACGGUUUCAAUUUCGAAAACCAAGUUUUAAUGGCUGUCAGAAGUUCUCCUUUAUGACCGGCUAUUAUUAAUGGCCAACAAGUGAUUUUUGCCGAUAAUAAGGGCUUUUUAAAUUUGGUGAUGGAACCUACACUAACCAAGUGGAACCACCACGCUUGAAGUUCCCUGAGCAACAAAUUCAAUCGCAAUUAAUUGCAAUUAAAUACCUCCUCAAUACCGACCGCAGCAAUCAAUGAGCCACUCUCAGGAUUUUUUACUACAGUCAAUACAAAUGCUGAAUCUGCAGUGUGGCGUACUUUUUACCAGCAGGCAAGCCCAAUGUGAAAGUUGAAAUCUGAAUGAAAGAAGAUAAAGCAAGUGGUGUCCAAUUCUACCUAUUGCAACAAAAUAUUUAAGUUAAAAACUAACCAUUAGAUGGCACAACCUUUUCACAAUUGCAAGCAAGCCUAAACGAUGCUCCCCGCUCAGUUUGCUUGGAAACUGAGGUUACUUUAAAUAAUUUAGAUGCUAGUCGUCUGCUAUGACCACACAUGUUAUUAUGUAGUUGCCUUGAAUGUCGAAAUCAGGCAGAGUUCCUGUGUGAGUUUUAAUCGUAAGCUUAACGUGCAAAGAGUUCAAAUCACGCAAAAUCGAAAAUAAAACGAGAAGGUAGCCUUCUUCUUUGACCUGAUGUUGGUUUAGGAUCAGGACGCCGGCGAAUUUCAAUUUUUUUUUUAUUUUUUUGCUCUUUUAUCUGGUUAGCUUACUUUCACAAAUCAAAUCCCAACAAACAAGAAGAACAAACGGUGGAUUGGUAUAAUAAAAAGUGCAUCAGUUCCAAGCCCUUCUCAAGCUAAAUAUAUCCCCUUUAGCAAAACUGGUGUAGGGUACCAUUUCAUUACACUAAUUAAUUACAAUAAUAAUCAAAUGUGCUUUUUCCAAGCGAGAUCUCACAGGAUAGUUACAUCUUCGAAAAUGAAUAUGCUUGUUAUUUGCAUCUUCAAACGAUCUGAUGCGCGGAAUUUUAAAGGUUGAUAUUAGUACAGUAUAUGAAAACCUUGGUCGUCACUUACGCUUAUAAAAUGAAAUUAAUUUGUUUUUUUCAUUUUGAUUUCUUAGUUCACGAUACAAUAAACUAUACAUA